AACGGGCAGUAACUUAUUCCCAAGGUUGCCCUGUUAAUCAGACAGUGAACUCUGGAGGGGGCUGUUGCCCCUUCCACUGCUGGUGCAGGGCUUUGCAUGACUGGUGCAGAGCACACACUCUUCCUGCUGAAUGAGUGGUCAGGGUUUGCAAUUUACUAAAAUUUCGGUGCUUCCAACUCCAGGCUGCAGGAACUAGUUGAUCGAGUGCUGGAACGCUUUCAGUCAAUGGGGCUCGUCAUGAAGGAGUGGACCAGUGUGAAACUGCACGCCACCGUCAUGAACACACUCCUCAGGAAAGACCCCAAUGCUGAAGGCAGGUACAACCUCUACACAGCAGAUGGCAAGUAUAUCUUCAAGGAAAGAGAAUCUUUUGAUGGCCGGAACAUUUUAAAGACAUUUGAGAACUUCUACUUUGGUUCCCUGAAGCUGAAUUCUAUUCACAUCUCCCAGAGGUUCACGGUGGACAGCUUCGGAAACUAUGCUUCCUGCGGACAUGUUGACUUCUCCUGACAUGGGAGAGCAUCGGAGAACAGGGACUGACUGAGGCGUUGGCCAUCGGGAGCCUGGCAGCACCACAGCAGCAGGCCCUUCCUUCAGGCUCCAGUUGACUGACGAGGAGGACGCUCCAGCCUGUGCUCCUCCCUCCUGGCUCUCAUCCUCCCCCUCAUCCUUGGCUUCUUUUUCCUCAUUCCUCAUCCUCCAGCCCUCCUUUCUGUGAAGCCUGUCCCUGAACUCUGUGGUGCAUC
rnacentral:lncRNA from 1 species